CCUACGGGUGGCUGCAGUGGGGAAUAUUGCACAAUGGGCGAAAGCCUGAUGCAGCAACGCCGCGUGAAGGAAGAAGGGUUUCGGCUCGUAAACUUCUAUCAACAGGGACGAAAGAAAUGACGGUACCUGAAUAAGAAGCCCCGGCUAACUACGUGCCAGCAGCCGCGGUAAUACGUAGGGGGCAAGCGUUAUCCGGAUUUAUUGGGUUUAAAGGGUGCGUAGGCGGGACCUUAAGUCAGCGGUAAAAUUGCGGUGCUCAACGCCGUAGAGCCGUUGAAACUGGGGCUCUUGAGUGAGCGAGAAGUAUGCGGAAUGCGUGGUGUAGCGGUGAAAUGCAUAGAUAUCACGCAGAACCCCGAUUGCGAAGGCAGCAUACCGGCGCUCAACUGACGCUGAGGCACGAAAGUGCGGGUAUCGAACAGGAUUAGAUACCCCUGUAGUC
rnacentral:rRNA from 1 species